rnacentral:rRNA from 1 species
UGACGCUGUGCGGCAGGCUUAACACAUGCAAGUCGACGCGGGGGAAGGUACGCUUGCUACCGGACCUAGCGGCGGACGGGUGAGUAAUGCUUAGGAAUCUGCCUAUUAGUGGGGGACAACAUCUCGAAAGGGAUGCUAAUACCGCAUACGUCCUACGGGAGAAAGCAGGGGAUCUUCGGACCUUGCGCUAAUAGAUGAGCCUAAGUCGGAUUAGCUAGUUGGUGGGGUAAAGGCCUACCAAGGCGACGAUCUGUAGCGGGUCUGAGAGGAUGAUCCGCCACACUGGGACUGAGACACGGCCCAGACUCCUACGGGAGGCAGCAGUGGGGAAUAUUGGACAAUGGGGGGAACCCUGAUCCAGCCAUGCCGCGUGUGUGAAGAAGGCCUUAUGGUUGUAAAGCACUUUAAGCGAGGAGGAGGCUACUUUAUUAUACCUAGAGAUUGGACGUUACCCCAGAAUAAGCACCGGUAACUCUGUGCACAGCG